rnacentral:rRNA from 1 species
CGGAGGAUCCAAGCGUUAUCCGGAUUUAUUGGGUUUAAAGGGUGCGUAGGCGGCUUAUUAAGUCAGGGGUGAAAGACGGUGGCUCAACCAUCGCAGUGCCCUUGAUACUGAUGAGCUUGAAUGAACUAGAGGUAGGCGGAAUGUGACAAGUAGCGGUGAAAUGCAUAGAUAUGUCACAGAACACCGAUUGCGAAGGCAGCUUACUAUGGUUUUAUUGACGCUGAGGCACGAAAGCGUGGGGAUCAAACAGGAUUAGAUACCCUGGUAGUCCACGCCCUAAACGAUGAAUACUCGCUGUUAGCGAUAUACAGUUAGCGGCUAAGCGAAAGCGUUAAGUAUUCCACCUGGGGAGUACGCCCGCAAGGGUG